GACGAACGCUGGCGGCGUGCCUAACACAUGCAAGUCGAGCGGAGAUAAGCGGAUGGUAACUGAAGUUUGUCUUAGCGGCGGACGGGUGAGUAACACGUGGGCAACCUGCCUUGGAGUGGGGGAUAACACCGGGAAAUCGGUGCUAAUACCGCAUAACAUACACAAACUGCAUGGUAAGUGUAUCAAAGGAGCAAUCCGCUUUAAGAUGGGCCCGCGGCUGAUUAGCUAGUUGGUAAGGUAACGGCUUACCAAGGCGACGAUCAGUAGCCGACCUGAGAGGGUGACCGGCCACACUGGAACUGAGACACGGUCCAGACUCCUACGGGAGGCAGCAGUGGGGAAUAUUGCGCAAUGGGGGGGAACCCUGACGCAGCAACGCCGCGUGGAGGAAGAAGGUCUUCGGGAUUGUAAACUCCUGUCUUCUGGGACGAAGUAUGACGGUACCAGAGGAGGAAGCCACGGCUAACUACGUG
rnacentral:rRNA from 1 species